rnacentral:rRNA from 1 species
ACGCACGCUGGCGGCGUGCUUAACACAUGCAAGUCGCACGGAAAGGCCCUGCUUUUGUGGGGUGCUCGAGUGGCGAACGGGUGAGUAACACGUGAGUAACCUGCCCUUGACUUUGGGAUAACUUCAGGAAACUGGGGCUAAUACCGGAUAGGAGCUCCUGCUGCAUGGUGGGGGUUGGAAAGUUUCGGCGGUUGGGGAUGGACUCGCGGCUUAUCAGCUUGUUGGUGGGGUAGUGGCUUACCAAGGCUUUGACGGGUAGCCGGCCUGCGAGGGUGACCGGCCACAUUGGGACUGAGAUACGGCCCAGACUCCUACGGGAGGCAGCAGUGGGGAAUAUUGCACAAUGGGCGGAAGCCUGAUGCAGCAACGCCGCGUGCGGGAUGACGGCCUUCGGGUUGUAAACCGCUUUCGCCUGUGACGAAGCGUGAGUGACGGUAAUGGGUAAAGAAGCACCGACUAACUACGUG